CCCCAGAGAAGCGCCAUAAGCUAUUUCACGACGAAAAGUCUCUCUCCUUUCACUGAUUUUGAUUUGAUUUUGAUCUGCAAUGACCGUAAUUGAGGUCAAAAGGUAUUCGAACGGGAGCAAACCCUAGAGGAGGUGAAGAUGUACAUUCCCACUUUUGCAUUAUCUCACUAGCCCCGUGAAGAUGGACUGUUCUUUCUGGACACUAGUCACUAGGGUAGAGGAUGAUAUAAUGCACAUAACACUGCAAAAGAGGGACAAAGCUCAGACAUGGGCUUCACCUAUAGUGGGCGAGGGUCAGCUGGAUCCCUACUCCACUAAUCUUGAACAGAAGCGUCUUAUGCUCCAGAGGUUUCAAGAAGAGGUGAAUUCAACUUGUGAAUCUUAUUCUGAUUGUAUUUACAACAGUUUGGACUACUGAAAUGAAUGUGUUAUUCUAGUGUUACUCAUGCUGUCGGAUGCACUUGAGAGUGUUCCUUUUCAUGUCAAGGUGGAUAGUGGAUGGGGAUUCUGAGAAAUGUGUGUAAAAUUGCUUAUGGGGAAGUCGAGGACUCUAUUGGUAAUAGUUCUCCAGUUUCAGCCAAAGGCAAUAGCCAAAGAUACUAUUUAGAAUGGACAACAUAGUUAUUGUGAGAUAACUAUUGGUGGGUACAAAGAUAAACAUAUAGUUGGCCAAUAUGUUCCAUGAGUAACAGGUAUCUGUAAUUAAGUGUAAUUCAGUAUGUCUGUGUGUGUUAGUGUAUGAAGCCUUUUGACUUUUUAUCUAAAUGAAAUGUUAAUGCAGGUUCUUAAAGGCCAUGAUGUUUACCUUAGAUGUGAUUAUUUGGUUAUGGCAUUUGCAUUGCUGGUGGCCUUUAAAUUUGUUUCAUUUUGAUUUUCAUCUCUUUUAAAUAAAAAAAUGUCAUUUGUGACAAUGUAGUCAUCAAACUGCUGAGAAUAGUAAUAUUUCUGAUAUAUAAGGAUCAAAACGAUAACCAAUCUUUCCCCUUGCUUAAAUGUUUUUGUUUUGGUUAUCUGCCGAACCCUGGUUUUGACUUCUCGCAAGCUCAGUUCAAUGGGGGCUGCGCUGAUCCAAGGACCUUCAUGGGUGCUAUCUGCUCCGAUUCAUAAGCUUGGUAUACUGCAUUACUUUCCUGCAUUAGCCUGGUAUAAAAUCCUGACCAAACAUCUAGUAAAUAAGAGAAUUUGAUUAGCUUACCAACUUGGCUUAAUGCCAUGUUUGUAAGAACUUCAAUGCUACUCAUCAUCUGUUAUUUCAUUAUUGAUUCUACUGACGUGUGUAAUUUGUAACUGUCACAACUAAACAAUCUAGAUCUUAUGCUAUUCAUUAAAGCUUCUUCUUACUUUCCCUGCAAUAACAGAGCCGAUUUUAUGUUAUAAUGUAUGCUGCAGGAAACAAAAAUGUAAAUUGUACAAUUGGAGAAAUGAAUUGGAACUUCGAAAGUGUUAGGUAUAUUCUCAUGCAAACCAGAAAUGCCCCUUCUAUUUCUAGCAGUCAUGAAGCUAUCUUAUAGAAACGCUCUAGAACAAGUUGGAAAAUUGCCUGUUUUCUUGGUCAUGAAUUUUUCAAGGAGUUAAUUUAGGGUCUGACACUGAUGGUAACGUUAUGUUCAAGUCAUGCCUUGUGAUGUUGUUGAGACUAAUUUUUUAGCCUCGGAGAUUUGAGUGUGUUACUAGUUAAUUUCUCAGACAUAAUACUUGGAUUCCCUCGAGCAAAGCCUUUUUCAUUUACCCCUUCAAAUCUGGACUUUGUAAAAUAAAAAAUAAAAAAAAUAAAAAUAAAAAGGUACUUGUCAACUGUAAAUUAUGUAUCUUUAACUGCUAAAAUUGUUCAUUGAAUCACUUGUACAUGUAUUAUCACUGGGGAAACCACCAAAGUUAAUGGCAUUGGCAAUUCUGAAACCCUUCUUUUCCGUUUACUGAACAUUUGUAUAAUUGACUAUAUGAAGCUUGGAAUUGCAGCAUCAUGCACAUCUUUCGUGAACAGAAUACAUUUGUUUGAUUGCUUAUCUGAACUGGUGCCAUUCGCUUAUUCCUGAUGCUGUUUGAAGCCUAAUGAUUCUGCUGAUGUUUCUAGGUUCUACGAUGUUUAGUCAAGGCUUUGCCGUUUCUUUGUUUAGUCGUUUUUCAUUUAUACCCAAGAACUAUUACUAACUUGGUGGAUUUUAAUUCAAUGACAAAAUUACUUACUACAUUGUUCAUUAAAUCACUUGUACAUAUAUUAGCACAGGGGAAACCGCCGAAGUUAAAAGUCGUAGACAGUACUUGAAACUUUGCUGGUUUCUGAGACGUUUGAAGAACUGAACAGUUCAAUUCAGUGCUUUCCUGAAGAUCAGCACUUGGCAAAAACAUGCACAAAAUCGAUGACUGACUAAGCCAUCGUGUACAUUUAUGAAUAAAGCACGAAAAACCUGGAUAAAUAGGCCUGAGUACUGAUUAAUUACUACAAAGAAAAUAAAGAUGAGCUCCAAGGAUCCCAAUUCUACUUGUCCAUGCACUUUUAACCAUACAAUAAGCUAGCUAGGGGAUCUUUACUUAAACCAGAAACUGUUAUCUCAUCAACACACUAGUAUGUUCACUUGGAGCUUUAAAAGCUGCACGCUGCUUGGAUAGCUAGUGUCUUCUUGAUACCAGGGCAAGGAUCACCAGACUUGAAGAAGAGGCUGGGGUCAUUUGGGACCGUGCAUGAAAUCUUUCCCAAGCAAUGCUGCUCAAACAGAAACGAAAAAUGAAUUCA